rnacentral:rRNA from 1 species
UACGAAGGGGACUAGCGUUGCUCGGAAUUACUGGGCGUAAAGGGCGCGUAGGCGGUGUGUCAAGUCAGGCGUGAAAGCCCCGGGCUCAACCUGGGAACCGCGCUUGAGACUGGCACGCUCGAGUUCGGGAGAGGAUGGUGGAAUUCCCAGUGUAGAGGUGAAAUUCGUAGAUAUUGGGAAGAACACCGAUGGCGAAGGCAGCCAUCUGGACCGACACUGACGCUGAGGCGCGAAAGCGUGGGGAGCAAACAGGG